rnacentral:rRNA from 1 species
UGGGGAAUUUUUCGCAAUGGGGGCAACCCUGACGAAGCAAUGCCGCGUGGAUGAUGAAGUCUCUUGGGACGUAAAAUCCUUUCGACAGGGACGAAGCCGCAAGGUUGACGGUACCUGUAGAAGAAGCCCCGGCUAACUCCGUGCCAGCAGCCUCGGUAAUACGGGGGGGGCAAGCGUUGUUCGGAAUUACUGGGCGUAAAGGGUGCGUAGGCGGCUCUCUAAGUCGGAUGUGAAAACUCUGGGCUCAACCCAGAGCCUGCAUCCGAAACUGGAGGGCUAGGGUUCUGGAGGGGAAAGCGGAAUUCCUGGUGUAGCGGUGAAAUGCGUAGAUAUCAGGAGGAACACCGGGUGGCGAAGGCGGCUUUCUGGACAGAUACCGACGCUGAGGCACGAAAGCUAGGGGAGCAAACAGGAUUAGAUACCCUGGUAGUCCUAGCCCUAAACUAUGGAUACUUGCUGUGGGGGGAUUGAAGCCCUUGUGGCGAAGCUAACGCAUUAAGUAUCCCGCC